rnacentral:rRNA from 1 species
GACAGAGGGUGCAAACGUUGUUCGGAAUUACUGGGCGUAAAGCGCGUGUAGGCGGCUAUGCAAGUCGGAUGUGAAAGCCCUCGGCUCAACCGGGGAAGUGCACCCGAAACUGCAAGCUAGAGUCUCGGAGAGGAUCGUGGAAUUCUCGGUGUAGAGGUGAAAUUCGUAGAUAUCGAGAGGAACACCGGUGGCGAAGGCGGCG